rnacentral:lncRNA from 1 species
GGUUUAUACUGUCUGUAUUAACUUAUAGUGCUGAAGAGUAAAAAUAAUAGUUAAGAAUGAACAAGAUCUGAAAUCUUCCAGAAAGAUGAUGAUAAACGUGCUUUAGACAAUAGGGGGUGACACAGAGAGAGCACCUAAUUUGUAAAAUGAAGGCAUGAAUGCCUUGGUCUAGAAAUUGAAGUGCCAUACUUCAGAAAAAACCAUCAGCAGGGGUUUAGUUAGCCAGAAACCAUAUUCGACCUCAACGUCUUCUUUCCUGAACUUUCUGUUUAAUCAGGGAUUCUCCAUUUGUUGUGUUUAUAGGAAGUGGGAAGUUCAGAAGGCUCUGAACUGGCCAGGAUAAUUCUUUUUAAAAAUCUUCCCCACAAUUACACUGGAGCUGUUUAAGGGCUUUUUUCCUUCUGCUCAUUUUCAUGGCCUGAGAUAAUAGAUCAAAUGAAGGCUGGUGCUGGGGUGUUUGUGAAAGCGCAGCAGAAUGGGAUAAGGCAAGAACCAUGGCCUCCACCGCUGGGAAAUGGAUGCUUCUAUAUACCACGCAAUGGGUGGGCUUCCAAAGAGGUGUGUCAGAGCCGCGAAUGCUGCCGUGAGGGCUGUGCCCGACCUAAGGGGGCGUGAAAGGAAUCCACUGAGCACAUGAGAGGACUCUUUGCCUUGAGGUAAACUUUGGAGAAAUGAACACACUCGUCUAUUUCUGUAUGCUUUGGAAGCCAAUUUUGAAUUGCUUUAAGUGAAAAAUUUCCUGAUAGAAUGAAGACAAUGGUGGCUAAAGUUUGAUCUGACCUAACAGAUGUAGAAAUCUUACAGGCUAAUCCAACAAUAAUCUUGCCUCCAUUUUCUUUCAAAUGAACAACCCUAAAGAUGUACUUUUUAGUUUUACUAGAAGUCUUCCCUUAAACACUGCACGGGGUAAAGGGGCACGUAUGCAUGGUGACAGAUAAAAACUAGACUAUGGGUGGUGAGCACAAUGCAGUCUAUGCAGAAACUGAAAUAUAAUAACGUACACCUGAAAUUAUACACUGUUAUAAACCAUUAUGACCUCAAUAAAACAAUUAAAAAAAAAAAGAAGCCUUUUCAAGGAAAAGUUCGAGUGGAUUUUCAGCUACUCAGCCAAUUAUUCUAAUUGUAGUGAUUCUAAUUCUAAAACACGGAAUUUAUUCUCUAGCCGUUUGGUGGUGUGUAUGUGAUUUUUAAGAGCAUGUUAAUCUUAGAUCGCUCUGAGUGUUUUAGGAGAUGUGUGUUUCAGGAGAGGCACAGAGACAGCUUCCUUUUUGAGGAGAGGCAGGAUUCAUGCCUACAAAAGGAGCCUCACAGCCUGGAACAGUGAAAGCACAUUUUCAGGGCAUGCUGAGGCCUUUCCAUAUAGGGUUAGCAAGGAAUCGCUAAUUCCAGAGCUGCCAUUUGCGACACUCAACUAGAAGAUUGUCAGGUUUUAGAAAUCUUGCCUUUCUCAUAUUUCCCCAUGCCUAGCUUGAGAACAAUACUUAAUUACAGAAAGUGGUGAGUUUUAAGGACAUCAAUUUGGGGGAAGUUGGCUUCAGACUAUUUUUCAGUGGUGCUUGGUAAAAAUAAUUCAUUCAAGCAAAGAUCAGACUAGAAAAAUUACUUGAGGAGAAAAGAUAAGUCUGCCAUACAGAAGAAUUCCAAAUAAUUUCCAUAGAUGCUCUGCCCUCAAGGAGAUGGAGGGUAACUCCCCACCCGUUAAACGUGGGCGGCAUGUAGUAACUUCCUUUGAAAGGGUAUGAUCUGGAAAGCAGGCAAAAGAGCACUUUACAGUGGAAAAACCUGGCAAACACUCCCUCAGCCAGGUGAUCAGGGUCAACAUCAACAGUGAUAAGUGAUGUUGACAGCAUGGACCCUUGAUACGAUGAAAUGAAAAUGGCACUUGCCUCCCCAAAACCCUAACCCCUGUCUAAUGGUGAGAAAAACAUCAGACAAGUCCCAGCUGAGAGACAUUCUACGUAAUGCCUGACCAAUGCUCAUCAGAACUGUGAAGGUCAUCAAAAACAUGGACUGUCUGAGAAACUGUCACAGCCAAGAGGAGCCUAAGGAGAUGUGACAGCUAAACAUACUGUGGUAUCCUGGAUGCGAUCCUGGAACAGAAAAAGGACAUUAGGUAAAAAACUAAGGAAAUCUGAAUAAAAUAUGGACGUUAGUUAAUAAUAAUGUGUCAGUAUUGGUUCAUUAAUUGUAACAAAUAUACCAUCCUAAUGUAACAUAUAAUAAGAGGAACUGGAAGUGGGGUCUAUGGGCAAUCUUUGUACUAUAUACUCAAUUUUUCUAUAAAUGAUU